AGCGAACGCUGGCGGCAGGCCUAACACAUGCAAGUCGAACGAACCUUUCGGGGUUAGUGGCGGACGGGUGAGUAACACGUGGGAACGUGCCUUUAGGUUCGGAAUAACUCAGGGAAACUUGUGCUAAUACCGAAUGUGCCCUUCGGGGGAAAGAUUAAUCGCCUUUAGAGCGGCCCGCGUCUGAUUAGCUAGUUGGUUGAGGUAAUGGCUCACCAAGGCGACGAUCAGUAGCUGGUCUGAGAGGAUGAUCAGCCACAUUGGGACUGAGACACGGCCCAAACUCCUACGGGAGGCAGCAGUGGGGAAUCUGCGCAAUGGGCGAAAGCCUGACGCAGCCAUGCCGCGUGAAUGAUGAAGGUCUUAGGAUUGUAAAAUUCUUUCACCGGGGACGAUAAUGACGGUACCCGGAGAAGAAGCCCCGGCUAACUUCGUG
rnacentral:rRNA from 1 species